rnacentral:rRNA from 1 species
UACGUAGGGUGCGAGCGUUAAUCGGAAUUACUGGGCGUAAAGCGCGCGCAGGCGGCCUUUUAAGUCUGACGGUGAAAUGCCGGGGCUCAACCCCGUGCCCGCCGGAGAUACUGGGAGGCUGGAGACGAGUAGAGGCAAGCGGAAUUCCGGGUGUAGCGGUGGAAUGCGUAGAGAUCCGGAAGAACACCGGAGGCGAAGGCGGCUUGCUGGGCUCGGUCUGACGCUGAGGCGCGAAAGCGUGGGGAGCGAACAGG